rnacentral:rRNA from 1 species
UACGAAGGGGGCUAGCGUUGUUCGGAAUCACUGGGCGUAAAGCGCACGUAGGCGGAUCUUUAAGUCAGGGGUGAAAUCCCGAGGCUCAACCUCGGAACUGCCUUUGAUACUGGGGAUCUCGAGUCCGGGAGAGGUGAGUGGAACUGCGAGUGUAGAGGUGAAAUUCGUAGAUAUUCGCAAGAACACCAGUGGCGAAGGCGGCUCACUGGCCCGGAACUGACGCUGAGGCACGAAAGCGUGGGGAUCAAACAGG